rnacentral:piRNA from 1 species
UCCCCAAUAGUUUGAGAGUCUUAG